AUGUCAAUGGUGUUGGAUAUAUUGUAUGCCUACAUCAUACGUAUAGUUUCUGUUGAGAUAGGCUGAAAAAGGACAUCGUUAUGUGCCAUCUUGCUGAUUUUGAAUGUCUUAUUCAUGUACUCUGGUGAUUACCUGAUCAAACACAUCUUAUUUCAUGAAUUUACUGUUUAGUGGAGAGAUCAAGUAAUCAUGAAUUUCUGAAAAGUUUAUACCAUUGGAUAUUGAAAAUCAUCAUAGAUUCUACCAGACAGAGGAAUGCCUACUUCCUGAUUGAAAUUAGAGGAUAUUCAGAAUAUGAUCCACUAAGACAUUAAAUGUCAACAUUCGUUCGUAACUAGCUCCAGUUUUCAUCCAGUGCUGCCAUUGUAGUCGCCUCGUGAUGGCGCUGCUGUCAUUAAAAGUGCACAUCGUUCAGGCUAACAGCACCAAGACUAUUCAAUUUCCCCCCACCGACAGCGUCUAUGAUGUAGGCCGUACCAUCAGGGAAAAGAGCACCGAAGCUAAAGACCAAGCAGGCAACCCAAAUGAAUUUGGUCUGUUCUUAGCUGACGAAGAUCCUAAGAAAGGAGUAUGGCUGGAGCCAAACAAAACCCUCGAGCAUUAUAUGCUGAGAAGUGGGG